ACGCUCGACACCUACGGGAGGCAGCAGUGGGGAAUAUUGCACAAUGGGGGAAACCCUGAUGCAGCGACGCCGCGUGAGUGAAGAAGUAUUUCGGUAUGUAAAGCUCUAUCAGCAGGGAAGAAAAUGACGGUACCUGAGUAAGAAGCCCCGGCUAACUACGUGCCAUCAGCCACGGUAAUCUGAGCGGCUGGCAAGGC
rnacentral:rRNA from 1 species